AGCCUGAUCCAGCCAUGCCGCGUGCGGAUGACGGUCCUAUGGAUUGUAAACUGCUUUUAUACGAGAAAAAACACUCCAACGUGUUGGAGCUUGACGGUCUCGUAAGAAUAAGGAUCGGCUAACUCCGUGCCAGCAGCCGCGGUAAUACGGAGGAUCCGAGCGUUAUCCGGAAUCAUUGGGUUUAAAGGGUCCGUAGGCGGUUUAGUAAGUCAGUGGUGAAAGCCCAUCGCUCAACGGUGGAACGGCCAUUGAUACUGCUAAACUUGAAUUAUUAGGAAGUAACUAAAAUAUGUAGUGUAUCGGUGAAAUGCUUAUAGAUUACAUGGAAUACCAAUUGCUAAGGCAGGUUACUACUAAUGGAUUGACGCUGAUGGACGAAAGCGUGGGUAGGGAACAGGAUUACAUACCCUGGUAGUCCACGCCGUAAACGAUGGAUACGAUCUGUUGGGAGCAAUCUCAGUGGCUAAUCGAAAGUGAUAAGUAUCCCACCUGGAGAGUACGUUCGCAAGAAUGAAACUCACAGGAAUUGACGGGGGCCCGCACAAGCGGUGGAGCAUGUGGUUUAAUUCGAUGAUACGCGAGGAACCUUACCAAGUCUUAAAUGUAAAUUGACCGGUUUGGAAACAAAUCU
rnacentral:rRNA from 1 species